UACGUAGGGACCGAGCGUUGUCCGGAUUCAUUGGGCGUAAAGAGCUCGUAGGCGGCUGCUCAAGUCGAAUGUGAAAACUCGAGGCUCAACCUCGAGCCUGCAUUCGAUACUGGGCGGCUAGAGUCUGGUAGGGGGAUCUGGAAUUCCUGGUGUAGCGGUGGAAUGCGCAGAUAUCAGGAAGAACACCGGUGGCGAAGGCGGGUCUCUGGGCAGUAACUGACGCUGAGGAGCGAAAGCGUGGGGAGCGAACAGG
rnacentral:rRNA from 1 species